AAGUGCUGAAAGCAUCUAAGCACGAAACUUGCCCCGAGAUGAGUUCUCCCUGAGACUUUAAGUCUCCUGAAGGAACGUUGAAGACGACGACGUUGAUAGGCCGGGUGUGUAAGCGCAGCGAUGCGUUGAGCUAACCGGUACUAAUGAACCGUGAGGCUUAACCUUACAACGCCGAAGGUGUUU
rnacentral:rRNA from 1 species